UACGAAGGGGGCUAGCGUUGUUCGGAUUUACUGGGCGUAAAGCGCACGUAGGCGGAUCGUUAAGUCGGGGGUGAAAUCCUGGAGCUCAACUCCAGAACUGCCUUCGAUACUGGCGAUCUUGAGUCCGGAAGAGGUGAGUGGAACUCCUAGUGUAGAGGUGGAAUUCGUAGAUAUUAGGAAGAACACCAGUGGCGAAGGCGGCUCACUGGCCCGGUACUGACGCUGAGGCGCGAAAGCGUGGGUAGCAAACAGG
rnacentral:rRNA from 1 species